UACGUAGGUGACCAGCGUUGUCCGGAUUACUGGGCGUAAAGGGCGCGUAGGCGGUCAGCACAAGUCAGUUGUGAAAUCUCCGGGCUUAACUCGGAAAGGUCAACUGAUACUGUGCGACUAGAGUGCGGAAGGGCAACUGGAAUUCUCGGUGUAGCGGUGAAAUGCGUAGAUAUCAGGAGGAACACCGGUGGCGAAGGCGGUUCUCUGGGCAUGUCCUGACGUGAGGAGCGAAAAGUGUGGGGAGCGAAACAGG
rnacentral:rRNA from 1 species